UUUGCGAUACGAGUAGCUGCCGAAAAAAAAAAAUAAAAACUAAAACCAAAGAAUAAAAACAUUUUUUAACGUUGACUAGGAAAACAUUCCAAUCACGUAUUUGGCUGGAGCCGUGUGUAGCUGUGGCGAGUGAAUGUGCAACAAAGCGUGUAAGCUGGCAGCGAGUAGCAGAGCAACAAAAGUGUUAAAAAGUAAUAGUAAAAAAAUACGAUUUAGAUAACGCAAGAAUAAAACAGAUUGUUUAAAAAAAAAACAAAAAAAAUACUUAAGCGCAGCAACAAAAUUUACAGAACCAACAAAGAAAAUUCCUCUAAAAUGUACAAGAGAAAGGUCUAAAGUGCUUGGCGAUAAAUCGAUGAUUCAGCAAAGAAUUUGAAAAAAAAAUUAAAUAAAAAAUUAACUGAAAUUGGCUGAAGUGACUGGCAAGCUGCUAAAACAAGUGAUUUUAACGAAUGUACCUGCUGCUAAGACAAAUAAUUUUGCUUACUUAGUGAAUGUGAUUUAAAAGAAAAAAUUAUUAAAAAACAAAUUAUUUUAAAUAACUCUACUUGCGGAUUGCUUCAAAAAAAAUAAAUAAAUAAAAAAUAAAUAAAUUUUUUAACUUUUAUGUCGCGCGCUUUUUCGUAAUUUUUGUUCAUGUUUUUUCUCGCAUGCGAUACAUAUCUCACAAAACUACCUACUUAACAAAAAUUUAUAAUUAACCCUUUCGGGUACCAGCACCUAAAAA